AAAGAAGGCAUGGGGCCUACUACCUUGAGUGACGCAGGGGCAGAGGCACAUGGCACUCACAGCUCAUCACAGAUUGCUGGGGAUGUCCCACAUGGAACUGUAGGACCUAAUGUUUGCCCUGCUGGAUUUUGGAUUUGUGUUGGUCCCAAUGCUUGGU